AAACUCCUCUUUGAUUCUUCUAGCUGUUUCACUAUUGGGCAACCAGCGGAGGCUCGCUCUGUCACCCAGGCUGGAGUGCAGUGGCAUCGCACUCACUGCAACCUCCGCCUCCCGGGUUCAAGCGAUUCUCCUGCCUCGGUCUUCCAAGUAGAUGGGACUAUAGGCACGCACCACCACGCCUGGCUAAUUUUUGUAUAGAGACAGGGUCUCACCAUGUUGGCCAGGCUUCCAUGGUCUCGAACUCCUGACUUCAAGUGAUCCACCCUCCUUGGCCUCCCAAAGUGCUGGGAUUACAGGCAUGAGCUACCGUGCCUGGCCUAAGAUGCUUAUUUUUUAAACAUGUUAGUAGUUACUGGUGCCAUUCCGACCCCGACAUUCUCUUUUCCUUAUUCUUCCCCAUUUAUGCCAAGGAAAUGGCCCAAUGGCACUAAAAUCCUGCAGACAACCCUCAGCACAAAACUGUACUUCAGCUUUUUGGUAAGUUUAUUUUCUUCCCAAUUUAUAAGACACCAGAAUGAGUACUAAAAAGUCUCCUGAGGAACUGAAGAGGAUUUUUGAAAAAUAUGCAGCCAAAGAAGGUGAUCCAGACCAGUUGUCAAAGGAUGAACUGAAGCUAUUGAUUCAGGCUGAAUUCCCCAGUUUACUCAAAGGUCCAAACACCCUAGAUGAUCUCUUUCAAGAACUGGACAAGAAUGGAGAUGGAGAAGUUAGUUUUGAAGAAUUCCAAGUAUUAGUAAAAAAGAUAUCCCAGUGAAGGAGAAAACAAAAUAGAACCCUGAGCACUGGAGGAAGAGCGCCUGUGCUGUGGUCUUAUCCUAUGUGGAAUCCCCCAAAGUCUCUGGUUUAAUUCUUUGCAAUUAUAAUAACCUGGCUGUGAGGUUCAGUUAUUAUUAAUAAAGAAAUUAUUAGACAUAC
rnacentral:lncRNA from 1 species